rnacentral:lncRNA from 1 species
CGACGUUCAUCGCAUGAACGUUGUUUCAUGAACCGUUCGUAGUUAGGCAAGAAUUAAAAACUUUUAAAACCUUUAGAAGAUCAGAUCUUCACCUUGUGCGGGUAGAUGAUCACCGCAAACUGAUGAUCGUGGUUUUAGGAUGAAGGUUCGUUUGAAGCCGUUCAAACGCCCGGCCUCUACGGGUAUCCAUACGAAGCAGAGGACCGAUCAAAGCUUUCUUGUCUUUCCGGGGUGCUAGCUCCCUUGCAAAGACUUCUUUUGAUGGUUGAUCUCCUCUCUUUCAAUCAACCCUUGAUUGUGCUUGAGAGGAGGAAGAAGAAGGAUGAAGAAGAGGAAGA